rnacentral:rRNA from 1 species
UACGUAGGGUGCAAGCGUUAUCCGGAAUUAUUGGGCGUAAAGAGCUCGUAGGCGGUUUGUCGCGUCUGCUGUGAAAACUGGAGGCUCAACCUCCAGCCUGCAGUGGGUACGGGCAAACUAGAGUGCGGUAGGGGAGAUUGGAAUUCCUGGUGUAGCGGUGGAAUGCGCAGAUAUCAGGAGGAACACCGGUGGCGAAGGCGGGUCUCGUGGGCAAUAACUGACGCUGAGGAGCGAAAGCGUGGGGAGCGAACAGG